GAAGCGAGCGCUUUUACUGGCGCUGAAGGAUGACCAGCACUGGACCGCAGAUGGAAGAAGAUGAGCCGACAUCUAAGGCAUUCCAAAUGUCUCUGCAGCAAGCCUACAGACAUAGAUACAGCGUUCAAAGAAGGAUCAUUGAAAAGUUCCGAUGUAAAAUGGCGAAACCACAAAAAAAGAGAAGAAAAAUCCAUGCCUUGCACCUUGGCGCAAUCGCCUUGCGUCAGUCGAUAUACAUGUAAGUAAGUGAUGUCGUCUGCUUAUAGAACACAACUUCAGUUGAUACAAGCAAGUGAUGUUGUCUGCUUAUAAAACACAACGUCAGUCGAUACAAGUAAGUGAUGUCAUCUGCUUAAAGAACACAACGUCAGUCGAUACAAGUAAGUGAUGUCGUCUGCUUGAGCACAACGUCAGUCGAUACAACCAGUACGUCAAUGGCACAGUCUGUUUUCCGGCGAAACUAACAGGUCACCCAGGGAAACAAUCAGAAAGUCGAGCGCCCUCUAGUAAUCGUCCGCAUUCCUGGGAAGAUGGUGAUACAGCGCCACCUGUAAGAGUGAGACAGACGUCGCAGUUGAACCUCGUGGAAAUCGUCUGCAGGCUUAACUUUUUAGCAAAGUACAAAUGCUCGAAGCUUUCGGGUCUUCACCUGCCCCUGGACACAUUCGAACAAUGUCCACCGAUACAAGUAAGUAAUGUCGUCUGCUUUUGAACACAACGGCAAAAUUUGUUCAAAA